UACAGGGGGGGCAAGCGUUGUUCGGAAUUACUGGGCGUAAAGGGCUCGUAGGUGGCCAACUAAGUCAGACGUGAAAUCCCUCAGCUUAACUGGGGAACUGCGUCUGAUACUGGAUGGCUUGAGUUUGGGAGAGGGAUGCGGAAUUCCAGGUGUAGCGGUGAAAUGCGUAGAUAUCUGGAGGAACACCAAUGGCGAAGGCAGCACUCUGGGACGUGACUGACGCUGAGACGCGAAAGCGUGGGGAGCAAACAGG
rnacentral:rRNA from 1 species